UUCGCCCUUAGAGUUUGAUCCUGGCUCAGGACGAACGCUGGCGGCGCGCCUAACACAUGCAAGUCGAACGAGCGAGAGAGAGCUUGCUUUCUCGAGCGAGUGGCGAACGGGUGAGUAACGCGUGAGGAACCUGCCUCAAAGAGGGGGACAACAGUUGGAAACGACUGCUAAUACCGCAUAAGCCCACAGGUCGGCAUCGACCAGAGGGAAAAGGAGCAAUCCGCUUUGAGAUGGCCUCGCGUCCGAUUAGCUAGUUGGUGAGGUAACGGCCCACCAAGGCAACGAUCGGUAGCCGGACUGAGAGGUUGAACGGCCACAUUGGGACUGAGACACGGCCCAGACUCCUACGGGAGGCAGCAGUGGGGAAUAUUGCACAAUGGGGGAAACCCUGAUGCAGCGACGCCGCGUGGAGGAAGAAGGUCUUCGGAUUGUAAACUCCUGUUGUUGAGGAAGAUAAUGACGGUACUCAACAAGGAAGUGACGGCUAACUACGUGCCAGCAGCCGCGGUAAAACGUAGGUCACAAGCGUUGUCCGGAAUUACUGGGUGUAAAGGGAGCGCAGGCGGGAAGACAAGUUGGAAGUGAAAUCUAUGGGCUCAACCCCAUAAACUGCUUUCAAAAACUGUUUUUCUUGAGUAGUGCAGAGGUAGGCGGAAUUCCCGGUGUAGCGGUGGGAAUGCGUAGAUAUCGGGAGGAACACCAGUGGCGAAGGCGGCCUACUGGGCACCAACUGACGCUGAGGCUCGAAAGUGUGGGUAGCAAACAGGAUUAGAUACCCUGGUAGUCCACACCGUAAACGAUGAUUACUAGGUGUUGGAGGAUUGACCCCUUCAGUGCCGCAGUUAACACAAUAAGUAAUCCACCUGGGGAGUACGACCGCAAGGUUGAAACUCAAAGGAAUUGACGGGGGCCCGCACAAGCAGUGGAGUAUGUGGUUUAAUUCGACGCAACGCGAAGAACCUUACCAAGUCUUGACAUCCUGCGACGCACAUAGAAAUAUGUGUUUCCUUCGGGACGCAGAGACAGGUGGUGCAUGGUUGUCGUCAGCUCGUGUCGUGAGAUGUUGGGUUAAGUCCCGCAACGAGCGCAACCCUUACUGUCAGUUACUACGCAAGAGGACUCUGGCAGGACUGCCGUUGACAAAACGGAGGAAGGUGGGGAUGACGUCAAAUCAUCAUGCCCUUUAUGACUUGGGCUACACACGUACUACAAUGGCGUUAAACAAAGAGAAGCAAGACCGCGAGGUGGAGCAAAACUCAGAAACAACGUCCCAGUUCGGACUGCAGGCUGCAACUCGCCUGCACGAAGUCGGAAUUGCUAGUAAUCGUGGAUCAGCAUGCCACGGUGAAUACGUUCCCGGGCCUUGUACACACCGCCCGUCA
rnacentral:rRNA from 1 species